rnacentral:rRNA from 1 species
GGCAAGUCUGGUGCCAGCAGCCGCGGUAAUUCCAGCUCCAGUAGCGUAUAUUAAAGUUGUUGCAGUUAAAAGCUCGUAGUUGAACUUCUGUGGCGUGGCUGCGCGUGGCAACACGUGCGGCCUGGCCACAUCCUCCUGAGGAGCUCGUCUUCAUUCACUUGUGGGCGAGUGUUCAGGAACUUUACCUUGAGAAAAUUAGGAGUCGUUCCAGGCAGGUCUUACGCCUAGAAUAGUGCAGCAUGGAAUAAUACAAGAGGACUUGGCUCCAGUUGUUGGU